GGGGGUAUAGCUCAGUGGUACACCAUAUGCUUAGCUUGCAUGAGGUCCUAGGCUCAAUCCCCAGUACCUCCA
rnacentral:tRNA from 1 species